AGUGAACGCUGGCGGUAGGCCUAACACAUGCAAGUCGAACGGCAGCACAGUAAGAGCUUGCUCUUACGGGUGGCGAGUGGCGGACGGGUGAGGAAUACAUCGGAAUCUACUUUUUCGUGGGGGAUAACGUAGGGAAACUUACGCUAAUACCGCAUACGACCUACGGGUGAAAGCAGGGGAUCUUCGGACCUUUCGCGAUUGAAUGAGCCGAUGUCGGAUUAGCUAGUUGGCGGGGUAAAGGCCCACCAAGGCGACGAUCCGUAGCUGGUCUGAGAGGAUGAUCAGCCACACUGGAACUGAGACACGGUCCAGACUCCUACGGGAGGCAGCAGUGGGGAAUAUUGGACAAUGGGCGCAAGCCUGAUCCAGCCAUACCGCGUGAGUGAAGAAGGCCUUCGGGUUGUAAAGCCCUUUUGUUGGGAAAGAAAAGCAGCAGGUUAAUACCCCGAUGUUCUGACGGUACCCAAAGAAUAAGCAACGGCUAACUUCGUG
rnacentral:rRNA from 1 species